AGUGGCGGACGGGUGAGGAAUACGUAGGGAUCUGCCCUUAAGUGGGGGAUAACCCGGGGAAACCCGGAUUAAUACCGCAUGAUCUCGCAAGAGCAAAGAGGGGGACCGCAAGGCCUCUCGCUUUUGGAGGAACCUACGUCGGAUUAGCUAGUUGGUGAGGUAACGGCACACCAAGGCGACGAUCCGUAACUGGUCUGAGAGGAUGAUCAGUCACACCGGAACUGAGACACGGUCCGGACUCCUACGGGAGGCAGCAGUGGGGAAUAUUGGACAAUGGGCGAAAGCCUGAUCCAGCAAUACCGCGUGUGUGAAGAAGGCCUUCGGGUUGUAAAGCACUUUAAGUUGGGAAGAAAAAGCUUCACCUAAUACGUGGAGCCUUGACGGUACCGACAGAAUAAGCACCGGCUAACUCUGUGCCAGCAGCCGCGGUAAUACAGAGGGUGCUAGCGUUAAUCGGAUUUACUGGGCGUAAAGCGUGCGUAGGCGGUUUGAUAAGUCGAUUGUGAAAGCCCCGGGCUCAACCUGGGAAUUGCGGUCGAUACUGUCAGACUCGAAAACGGUAGAGGGAGGCGGAACUCCAGGUGUAGCGGUGAAAUGCGUAGAUAUCUGGAAGAACACCGAUGGCGAAGGCAACCUCCUGGGCCUGUUUUGACGCUGAGGCACGAAAGCGUGGGUAGCAAACAGGAUUAGAUACCCUGGU
rnacentral:rRNA from 1 species